rnacentral:rRNA from 1 species
AUUGAACGCUGGCGGCAGGCCUAACACAUGCCAGUCGAGCGGAUGAAGGGAGCUCGCUCCUCGAUUCAGCGGCGGACGGGUGAGUAAUGCCUAGGAAUCUGCCUGGUAGUGGGGGAUAACGUCCGGUAACGGGCGCUAAUCUCGUAUCCGUCCUGAGGGUUAAAGAGGGGGAUCUUCGGACCUCACGCUAUUAGCUGCGCCUAGGUCGGAUUAGCUAGUUGGUGGGGUAAAGGCCUACGAAGGGGACCAUCCGUAACUGGUCCGAGAGGCGGAUCAGUCACACUGGAACUGAGACACGGUCCAGACUCCUACGGGAGGCAGCAGUGGGGAAUAUUGGACAAUGGGCGAAGGCCUGAUCCAGCCAGGCCGCGUGGGUGAAGAAGGUCUUCGGAUUGUAAAGCACUUUAAGUGGGGAGGAAGGGCAGUAAGUUAAUACCUUGCUGUUUUGACGUUACCAACAGAAUAAGCGACGGCUAACUUCGUG